UCCGGCUUUCACCGGCUGUCUCUCUAGAGUGCCCAACACCACUUGCUGGCAACUAAAGAUAAGGGUUGCGCUCGUUGCGGGACUGAACCCAACAUCUCACGACACGAGCUGACGACAACCAUGCACCACCUGUCACCGCUGCUCCGAAGAGAAGGCCUAUCUCUAGACCGAUCAGCGGGAUGUCAAGCCCUGGUAAGGUUCUUCGCGUUGCUUCGAAUUAAACCACAUGCUCCACCGCUUGUGCGGGCCCCCGUCAAUUCCUUUGAGUUUCAGCCUUGCGGCCGUACUCCCCAGGCGGAGUGCUUAUUGGGUUGCCUUCGGCACUGAGGGGUGGAAACCCCCCAACACCUAGCACUCAUCGUUUACGGCGUGGACUAC
rnacentral:misc_RNA from 1 species